UUACGUGAAGGGGCGGGCUUAACGCUCCU
rnacentral:sRNA from 1 species